rnacentral:lncRNA from 1 species
GGCUAUAGAGUGGCGUUUUGGUUGAGUGUGUGGCUCUCUGUAUUGCUAUCUGCGGUCGUUACUAAAGUUGGGAGAAGCAAGCGGUCGGCAACAUUCAUCUCUUUUGAGGGGGUGUCUAAGUCGUUACGGUGUGUUUGACCCUAAAUUAAUUUUACGCUGGAAUAUCCCUUUAAACAAGCUUCAGAUUACCUGGACAUUUCUUUAAAUGUUUGUUUUCCUCAAUAAAACAGCAGCACUCACCAACAGUAAAGUUUGACUUUAACCUGAAGCGACAUUAAACUCUUAUUCUGCUCAGAAACAACCUUUAAACCCAACUUUGGAAACUUAAACUGUGAAAACAGACACCCAUUCAUGCAUGUGUAGACCUCCCCUCAGAAUAAAGACCUGAUUUUGUCCUGAAGACCCCCCUCCUCUCUUUUAAAGGUUGAUAAUAAAGUGAGGAAAACCCAUUGACUUCCACCAAGUGUUUCAGGACUAUUGAUUUACCUUCUUUACCUUCUUUACUUGUGCUGCUCUCACAUGGACUCGUACAGUCGCUCCUUCCUCCUCUCUUUCUCUCACUAAGGGUCGUCUUCGCUUUCUCUCCCGCUGCUGCCGCCCACUCCUCCUCCUCCACCACUUGAUUAUUUUCAGCUCCGCCGUGUGUGUGUGUGUGUGUGUGUUGUGUGUGUGUGUGUGUGUGUGUGUGUGUGUGUGUGUGUGUGUGUGUGUUAGCGUGCGUGUGUGUUUCAGUGUGAAUGCAUGUGCCAGGCAUUGGCUGGCUGACUGGCUUGUUGGUUGGCUGGCUGGCUGGCGGGCUGGUUUGGGAAAUACCUGGUCACGAUCAAUGACGAGAGGAAUUAUUUCGGUUGCAUAGCGCUCCCUACUGUCCUGAAACGAGAACUGAAGCUUAGACCUUAAACGCACCAUGAUGCCUGUGCCAAAAUAUGAACAUUAUCUCUGUGAAAAAUGGGAAAAAUUCAGAAUUAAAUCAUUAAAAUACACAGAAAAACUGAUGCAGGAAGAGAUUGUGCAACAAAAGUGAAUUUUCAGUGCAUUACAGAGGGUGUUAGGAUUGUUACACACACAAAUAUACACUAAAAAGCACUAAUAUAUAAGCUUAAAUUCAAGUAAAAUUAGUAUCAUAUGAGCUACAAACAAUUUCAAUACCUAUCCAGCACAGUAUUGAAAAGUAUCUGACAAAAACAGGCAGUUUAUCUCUAAAUAUUAUCACUUUGUUUAGAUAAACAGAUUAAUUUUCUAUUAUUUUGCUUGUUUGUUCCUCCAAACACUUUUUUAAACCCGAGCAGGAAAACAAAGAGAGACAAAAAGACAUCAUGAAAGCUUUAAGUGACUCUUUCGCUCAGGAUAAAAAUAGAUCCGGUUGCUUUGCGAGGAAAACCCUGGUCUGGAUCGCCCCCUACAGGGGGGACACUGUCAAAACAGGGACCUAUAAAUGGAUGGAAAUCCUUUAUCUGUUAUUUACUGCAAUAGAAGAAAACAAAUAUUCAAUAGUGUGGACUUUAAACUGAUGAAACUUUCAGGUUAUUCAGUUUUGUGUUUUCUUUUUGGGCUGCUAUUAUUUCUGCGGUUUUUCCAACAUUAAACCUAAAAUCUACAGUAAUUUGCUGCCAGUUAAUGUUUUUCUCAUAUUAAAUAUCAGCACUUUGUCAGUCUGAAGCGGGUUUUUCAAAAUAAAAGCCUCACAGGACAGACGCCAAUGCUUCUUGUUGGAUUUGUUCCUUUUCAUUGAUGCAGUUUUCACAGAAAUGGUUAAAGAAGGCUGAGUUUUCUCUCUGAGCAUCACUGCCACAGUCGAUUCAGAAAAACUGAGUCUGAGCGCCCCUCUUCCUCCAGAGCAUCCACCCACCCACACACACACACACACAGACACACACGUGUCUCCACAUGCAGAUCUGAAACACCCACUGAGAGCGCCCUUUCUCUCCCUCUGAGUGAGUCUCUUCUGUCUUUAGGAGAAGCUGCUUUUAGACCUUUUUCUGUGUCUGUUCUGUAUGAAAAUCAUGAAUAAGAUUUAACUCUCCUCCCCUCACAAGCAGAAGGCAAAUGUUUUUUUUAAUCACGUUAUUUAAGGUGUGCAGUCUGCUAAAAAGAAUUUAAAAAGAAGUGUAGUUUGGAUUCACUUUGACUUUUUAGACUCUCUUUAUUUGUCAGAGAUUUAAACACAUGUGAGACACCUGUAAACGCCCAAAAAGACAAAAUCCAACUUAAAAAUUUUUAAUUUUAAGGUGGAGACUCUAGAUUAGACUCGGAUUAUUUUUAGAAAUAGCAGUUUAGACAGCUCUGUCUAUGUAAGAGUUUACCUGAAGACCUGAGGACUUCAUCUAAUCUUCAUGAUUUUAACACCAAACUCAAAACGUACAUUUUUACUAGGGCUGGAACGAUCUGCUUUUCUCCCGAUUAGAUUCUUGUACAAGUUUUUGGAUGCCGAUUCCAUUUCAGUUGCAACUCUACGAUAUUGAUGUGAAACAGUUCAAUGAUAAUAAUUGUCUACUGACUAUUUCAGGAACCAUAUUUCCCCAAAAAAUACACAUCACAUGUAAGUUAGUUUUUCUGAUUUAUUCUUUAAUUUGAAAGAAAAAAAAAUCGUUUAAAGAAUUGCCAAACCAAAAAAUUGCGAUACUUUUGUGAAUCGAUUUUUUUCUCCCACCCCGACUUGUUAGUCUUUUUUUUAACUACAUUUUAUAUCAACUUAACUUUAAGUGUUUUAGUAUUUAUCUCUUUCUAGUUUUAAUGACAGGAUCGUCUCUAAUUGAGCUAUUUUGGUGCUCUUAUUUUAGUAUCUUCUAAUGUUGUUUUUAUUUCAUUUUAUUCAUUAUUUAAUUUGAAGUGAUUUUAUGUUUUUAGAUUUUAACCUAAACCUCCAGAGUUUCCUUACCUUGAAUUUUAAAACGGUGUUUCCUCUGUGCCCACAUUCCUGUUUCUAUAAAAUCGAGCUCUUUUUAAGUUCAUGCAUUUUAAUUCAUGUUUCUGUUGUGUUUAGAUCGUGGAGUGGGAAUGAGGGGUUAGGCUGGGGUAGAUGAAAAGUUCCAUAUAAAUAAAGACUGAUUGAUUGAGAAAGAAAAUAUUCAACUCCAUUUAAGCAUUUUUGGCUGAAGCCUGAUGAAAACGAAUUAAAGCUGUUUGGGAAUUUAAAGCCACAGGUCCGAGCAGAAUUAUUCUUAUUUUAGGAAAUUAUGAACAGAGAAAGUAAAUAAAAUGCGACCCAAACACGGCAGAGACUAUUUCUGACUGCAUCAAUUAUUAAGAGCCAGACCCCCCCUCUCUUUUUCUACUUCAAAGCAGACACACCCACAACCCAGCACCCCAACACACAAACACCA